AACCAGCGUUUGACCAUCCUUUAUUAAAAAAUCAUAAGUUGCAAAGAAAACCCAACUUUGGAAAAACAAGUGUGAAGACUUCACCAGCUAGAUCCAUAUUUGGGCUUGAUAAGGACAAAUGUCCAUUAGGGACAGUUCCUAUUCGGAGAACCACAAAAGAUGAUCUAAUUCGAGAAAAAUCAUUAUUAAAUGAUCAUAUGAUCAUGACUCAAAAAGCUCCUGGUAUUCAUGUUGCAGAAGUAUCUCUCAAGUCGCGUUUUGGUCCUUAUUAUGGAGUCAAUGGAACAAAUAGUAUUUAUAAUCCAAAACUUG